GGAGUCUGGGCCGUGUCUCAGUCCCAAUGUGGCCGAUCACCCUCUCAGGCCGGCUAUGUAUCAUCGCCUUGGUGGGCCGUUACCUCACCAACAAGCUAAUACAGCGUAAGCCCAUCCCAUAGCGACGCAAACGCGUCUUUAAUAAUUAGAAGAUGCCUUCCAAUUACCUAUGCGGUAUUAAUAGUCGUUUCCAACUGCUAUCCCCCUCUCUGGGGCAGGUUGCCUACGUAUUACUCACCCGUUCGCCACUAACUAGAUCAAAAAGCAAGCUUUCUGAUUUCGUCCGUUCGACUUGCAUGUAUUAAGCACGCCGCCAGCGUUCAUC
rnacentral:rRNA from 1 species